rnacentral:ncRNA from 4 species
CAUUAGAUGACUGAAAGCAAGUACUG